UUGACCAGCGAUAGCAUCUGUGUACGUACAUUAUUUUGUUUGUGUGCUCAGUGUGGGCACGGGGAACACAAUGGGUGGCUCUGUGCUAGGACCUCUGGCAUGAUACAGUAUACUCCUGGAGGGCAAAGCCAACAAGCUGGAGGUGAGAGAAUGUGGGAGUAGAGGAGGCAGCAGACUUCAAGCCUCACAGGGGAGGUGGCCAAGACCUUCAGAAGUUCCCUGCAGAGAUCUAAGAAGCUGCUGUGAGGACGAUCAUCUCAGCAGCCCUCUAUCAAUCAGACAAGUCAGGUUUUCUCAUUUCUCAGCACAAGAUGCUCUGGCUGGAAAAUGGACAGCCCCCUCGCUUCCUGCAUGUGAUCUGGGAACCAAGAAGUGCACGACCAUCUGUUCCAUGUGG